AGAGUUUGAUCCUGGCUCAGGAUGAAUGCUGGCGGCGUGCCUAACACAUGCAAGUCGAGCGGUAACAUGAAUAAUUUAUUAUUUGAUGACGAGCGGCGGACGGCUGAGUAACGCGUGGGAACAUGCCCCAAAGUGAGGGAUAAGCUCCAGAAAUGGAGUCUAAUACCGCAUAUGAUCUUCGGAUUAAAGGAUUUAUCCGCUUUGGGAGUGGCCUGCGUACGAUUAGAUAGUUGGUGAGGUAAUGGCUUACCAAGUCUACGAUCGUUAGCUGGUCUGAGAGGAUGACCAGCCAGACUGGAACUGAGACACGGUCCAGACUCCUACGGGAGGCAGCAGUGAGGAAUCUUCCACAAUGGGCGAAAGCCUGAUGGAGCAACGCCGCGUGCAGGAUGAAGGCCUUCGGGUUGUAAACUGCUUUUAUAAGUGAAGAAUAUGACGGUAACUUAUGAAUAAGCACCGGCUAACUACGUGCCAGCAGCCGCGGUCAUACGUAGGGUGCAAGCAUUAUCCGGAGUGACUGGGCGUAAAGAGUUGCGUAGGUGGACAAGUAAGCGAAUAGUGAAAUCCGACGGCUCAACCGUAUGGACUAUUACUCGAACUGCUUGUCUCGAGAAUGGUAGAGGUAACUGGAAUUUCUAGUGUAGGAGUGAAAUCCGUAGAUAUUAGAAGGAACACCAAUGGCGUAGGCAGGUUACUGGACCAUUUCUGACACUGAGGCACGAAAGCGUGGGGAGCGAACCGGAUUAGAUACCCUGGUAGUCC
rnacentral:rRNA from 1 species